CGCGAAUUCGCCCUUCGGGGUGCCCAGGCGCGAAAACUUCACAAUGGGAGAAAUCCCGAUGAGGGAAUUCCAAGUGCUAGCACUAUGUGUUAGCUGUUCUUUUGUCUAAAAAACAGAAGAAGUAAGGGCCGGGUAAGACGGGUGCCAGCCGCCGCGGUAAUACCCGCGGCCCGAGUGGUGGUCGAUAUUAUUGAGCCUAAAACGUCCGUAGCCGGUCUUGUAAAUCCUUGGGUAAAUCGGCCAGCUUAACUGUCCGAAGUCCGGGGAGACUGCAAGACUUGGGAUCGGGAGAGGUCAGAGGUACUUCUGGGGUAGGGGUAAAAUCCUGUAAUCCUGGAAGGACCACCGGUGGCGAAGGCGUCUGACUAGAACGAAUUCGACGGUGAGGGACGAAGCCCUGGGGCGCAAACGGGAUUAGAUACCCCGGUAGUCCAGGGUGUAAACGCUGCGGGCUUGGUGUUGGGGGUCCUUUGUGGGCGCCCAGUGCCGGAGAGAAGUUGUUAAGCCUGCUGCUUGGGGAGUACGUCCGCAAGGAUGAAACUUAAAGGAAUUGGCGGGGGAGCAC
rnacentral:rRNA from 1 species